AGGGAAAGUUGCUUUGAUAUACAAGUGCUUUGGAUUACAAGCAUGUUUCCAGAAUGAGUUUGCUCACAAACGAAGGCUUUACUGUAUUUUGUUGCUUAGCUAUUACUGUGCUAUACUAUUGCCAGGAGUGGAUUUAUGAUCUGUCAAUCAACAGCCAUGGUCAGAUAAUUAGCCAUUAACAUCCUUCACUGGCACCGUGAUGAAAAUUCUGUCACAACUUGCAAGAGAUCCCCUUGAAGAUGAAACUGAAAGAGAUUGUGGCCACAUGUUGUUGCAAACCUGUAUUCAUUACACCUCCUGACUGCAUGUCAUAUAAGAGAGGCCAAACAGAUGUGUAAAAAUAGCUGUUUAACAGGGGGAAAAUACUGUAAAAUUGUUUAUGGCAGGACAGCGGGUUCUUAUAGGCAAAGUAAAUUACAAAUAGAUUUCUCAAUUA